UAUAUUAUCCAGGCUAAUAGACGCGGUCAGCUGCUUGACAAUGCAUGACAGAGCGAUAAACCUAACGUGCAUGCCCAGGCAGAGAAGUUACAACGCAAACGCUCACUUCCAAAACUCUUUUUGAUUACUGCAGGGCCACGAUUUUGUAGCGAUGCCUUCCGCUCGAUCAUAUGCCCCUCUUAUCAUCCACCGCUCAUGGCCGGCUAGGCCGGUAUUUGGUAGCGAUGCCUUUAAUGUAAUAAUGUCUUUACGCGCUUAUCGUGCUUUUUCAGUGGACGGAGCGACGGUCCGCUCGCAUUAUCAACGGGAUCAGCCGGCCGUGAGCGGUGGAUGAUAAGAAUAGAGUAGAAUAAGUCAUAAUGCCUUGAUACAAAAUCGCGGCCCUGAUCGCUUUGAUAACGCGGGCGGGGCGUCGCUCUGACCCCUGACAAAGCGCGAAAAGUGCAAAAAGGAAUAUCAUCGGAGACGGAAUCGCUACAAAAUCGCGGCCCGCGCGCAUGUGCAUCUGUGUCUGUGUUGUGCGAGUUUGCGUGCGCUGAAAAUUUUUUUAUUGCGCUCAGAGAAAUCUGAUCAUGCCACUCUACAUGACGCGGUGGGCAAAAUGAAUGAACGCCAACAAUCGUGUUCAUUGACCACGUAUACAAAACACACAAACGAUCGAUGUCGAAUUCAUAAUUACUCUCAUGAGUUGGGAUGUCAUUUUAAGAAUGCUUAAGCCUGAUGCAGUUCUCAACAUUUCUUAUCUGUACAACUGUACAACUUUGUACCUUCCACCCAUGGAGGAAGGAAACAACUUGAAAAAAAAAAGGUUUUUUUUAUCUUCCUCCAUGCUUCCACCCACUACUGUUGUACGGCAUUGCUUUAGUAGUAUUUUUCUUUUCUGUUUUGGUUUGGUUUGGGUGAUGCAGUGGUGGCAGUCGAAGUCGCAUGCCAAUCCGCAUCCAUAGAAUCCACGGCCAUAGCCACAGCUGUCAUCUAAGCGAGAACGACUGCGUUGCACUGUGUUAAGCUCGAGAUGCUUGUAUUCGUUGAAUAUGAAGUGGACAUGACCACUGCGGUUGUCAGGCACACCGCAGUGCAAAACUUUAACCCAGAGAAUGUCGUGGAUUUCGAUCCAAUUGUCCUCUACGACGUGUGGUGGAACGGCGAUGCGACAGAGUGCUGCACAUGGCUGAAACUGAAGAAAUGGUGCUGCACACGUCGAAAAGGCUCAGAAAUCUGUCCUUAGAAAAGGGCAAGAGCACCAAAGGAAUUAUAACUGCCAUGGCCUCUAUGGCACCUUUGUCACAGGAGCAUGCUGACAUGGACAUAUUCACUGGAGAGGCCAUCGAUGUUGUCAUCGGAUCCUCAAGAGAUGACGGAAAGGUAACUUUAAAAGUCAUAGAACUGUUUUUUAAGGAUCGAUGUUACAUUUACGUUCUGAAAGGGCUCGUACAUUUCAGAGUGGGGAAAGAAACUGAACUAUGUCCCUUUUGUUUUUCCGUUAUGGAUGUAAGUAGCUGUGUAUGAUCCACGAACUAGAUUUAUGGCCGAGUACCAUAUUUAUUCAAAUCUAGGCCGGUCUCACUCCUAAGCCAGCACCUGAAGGUCUGAAGCCGGUGAAAAAAGUGUUUUUCUUGAAUGUAAGCCGGACAAGUUAGGGCAACAGACAUAAAACGCGAACAGCAUUUAUUAGUCACGACCCGUCCCAGCCCAUGCAGUGUUGUUGUUGCUGCUAGCCUUGUUGCUUACCUUCUUAUCGUUGUCAGCAUAAAAGAGCAGACAAUUUUUGGUGCCAUUUAGUGCACUUUAGAUGCUGCACUCCUUGAAAGCAUGCAAUCAAGCUUCAUGGUGUGUCCCAUGCUGCAGUGACCCAGCUCGCCACUUGUGUUAGUUAUGUGCAUUUAGUACAACCUGUUGCUGUUAGCUUAUACGCUUUAUCACUCGGCCAGAUCGCGAAGUAUUUCCGCAGGCAAUCCAUCCUCAAAAUGCUUGUUGAUACAGACGUCAAGUGGCUGAGGCUGGUCCAUCAUGCCACCUGGUAUAAUAGCGAUGUCCAUUCAAGCUUGGGAGAGCACAGCCUUCAUGCUGUCAGUAAGGUGCCCACAGUACAUAUCAAGGACAAGGAGACAGUUCUUGGGUGACGUUGCCAUGUGAUCCUAAUCCACUAGUCAAACGUGGCACUCGUCAUUCGCCUGUUCGCAUUUGCCUGUGUGGCAGCAUUUCUGGGAAAGGCUUCUUAAGCCGGCAGUGGCUUCUUCUUAUAAAUUAUGUAUGCAGGCAGCUUAUGUCAAUCAGCUGUGCCAUGCAGCAUCAUGAUCGCAUGUUGCUUUCCGCAAGUGGCCGAGCACAUGACGCCCCUUUGGUGCUGUUGUCAUUGGCUUGCUACACCACAGACAUACCAAAAUAAAUGAAAAGGGGUCAGUUUACAGCACUCUACUGCAGCCACUUUUGAUUGGCUGGAGUGGCCAAGUAGAAAAUCUGACCCUGGUAAUAUGCUUGCUCUGGUAUUUUUGUCUCACAUAAAUGUUUUAGUUGUGUUUAUUGUUGCUUAACACUAUUGCCACAAUUUCCUGUGUAGAACAGUGUCCCAUGAAAGCACAACUAUGCUUGCUCUCAAUGCAUACAAAUGUACGAGAAGUGUUUGCAGAUCAUCUGCAUUUGCUGGUGGUAGUAAAAUUAAGAGUGUGCAGAAAUGACAGCAGUGGGAUAGUGGGCAUAAAGAAACAGUUCUGUGCGAGACUAGCUUGAUGGCUCCUCUAACUAAGCCGCCAUAAAGCGAUCUCGGUGCUUGUGGAGAUGGCCAUUUUCGCUGCGUCUUCCAAGCCCAUAAAAAAUUGCUGCCACACAGAAGAAAUAACUAUAUAAAAUGAAAUUGUACUUCUACUAUAAGUUAGAUGGUGCACUGCGCUCGUAGUGACGCAGGUCUCCAAAACAGCGCGAGAAAACAUAAUUGGUGGACUAAUCCUUUAUUAUGGUAAUGUCACUUGUGUGAUGAAAUCUAGGGUUUGACGAAAACUUGUCUGGCGAGGAAAGAACAUGGCUGAAUAAACGUACACUCGCCAACUGAAGAACACAAAAACAACAGAUUGACGUUUUGGCACCCACUACGGGUGCCUUGUUCACAAUGAACGAAUGCAUGGUGAUCUUUAUUAUAUAUGCGUUGGAAGACGUAAGGCCCUUGCGUACAACUCAGGGAGGGGGCCCCGUGUCCGGUUUAUUGUGUUAGUCGUAGAUUGUAGUAUGCAAAAUGAUUCAAGAAGCUAUCGGGAUAAUUUCUUCUCUCUUUUGAUGAUGAAAGCCGAAUGCCAGUUAAUACUGUGACCAGUCUUCUCAUGAUGCUCUGCUAGGGCGCUGGAAACCGUGUGUCCUUUGGCUACAUCAUUGCGGUGCUGCUGUAGCCUUCUUUUAAAGUUUCCCGUCUCGCCUACGUAGCACGCCUGGUAGUCCUGGCAUGGAAUUUUGUAGAUGAUGCCGGGAUAUUUUUCUUUUUCGAGGCAGUCUUUGACUCGGACGAGUUGUUGUUUUAGCUUGCUUGAAGGGACAUGGCAGAUUUGUACAUCAUAAUCUUUGAAAAUUCUUGACAUUGACUCGUUCACGCUUCGUGCAUAGGGGAGAGCCGCCCGUUUCCUUGUUCUCAUCGGCCUGAUGGGGGUUCAGCGGCACGCUUUUCUUCAGUCUUUAUAAACUGGCUAGGGUAGCCAUUGCUGACCAAAUCCUGCGUUACUCUCUUCAACUCAGCUCUGCGUGCGUCAGUAGUCGAGCACGAUCGGAAUGCACGGGUGAACAGUGUAGAGGCAACAGAUCGUUUGUGUCCAACGGGAUGGGCCGAAUAAAAGUGCAGAUAUUUCCCUGUGUGCGUAGGCUUCUGAUAAAUGCUUGUUGAAAGGCCGGAUGCAGUACGCAUGACUUCAACGUCAAGUAAAGCCAGGCGACCAUUAACUUCUUUUUCAACGGUGAAUUCUAUUGUGCUUUGGAAAGCCCUCGAAGGUAAAGCCCUCACGACAUUCCAGCCCGCUCCAAAAUUGUUCCUGCGGUAUGUCGACGAUUGUUUUUCCAUUAUCUGCCGCAAAGACGUCGUACCUUUUCUGCAGCACUUGAACUCUUUCCAAAGCACAAUAGAAUUCACCGUUGAAGAAGAAGUUAAUGGUCGCCUGGCUUUCCUUGACGUUGAAGUCAUGCGUACUGCAUCCGGCCUUUCAACAAGCGUUUAUCGGAAGCCUACGCACACAGGGAAAUAUCUGCACUUUGAUUCGGCCCAUCCCGUUAGACACAAACGAUCUGUUGCCUCUACACUGUUCACCCGUGCAUUCCGAUUGUGCUCGACUACUGAUGCACGCAGAGCUGAGUUGAAGA